UUCAACUUAAGGUAUUUUUGUUAUUGAAAUUAAUUUAUCUACUUCUACAUCAUGGGUAUUAGAUAUUGGAUACGGUUCUCACAUUUGUACCAAUGUGCAGAGGCUAAAAAGGAGUAGAGAUUUGGAAAAAGGUGAAGUUGACCUACGAGUUGGCAAUGGAGCAAAGGUUGUUGCUUUAGCUGUAUGAACUUAUGUAUUGACUUUACCUAGUGGUUUAAUAAUUCGGUUAGAGAACUGUUAUUAUGUACCUGCAAUUAGC
rnacentral:lncRNA from 1 species